rnacentral:tRNA from 4 species
UCCCGGGUCGUCUAAUGGUAGGACAAAGAGUUUUGGUCUCUUGAAUGAGGGUUCGAUUCCUUCCCCGGGAGCCU